AUUGAACGCUGGCGGAAUGCUUUACACAUGCAAGUCGAACGGCAGCACGGGGGCAACCCUGGUGGCGAGUGGCGAACGGGUGAGUAAUACAUCGGAACGUGCCCAGUCGUGGGGGAUAACGUAGCGAAAGCUACGCUAAUACCGCAUACGAACUCUGGUUGAAAGCGGGGGAUCGCAAGACCUCGCGCGAUUGGAGCGGCCGAUGGCAGAUUAGGUAGUUGGUGGGGUAAAGGCCUACCAAGCCGACGAUCUUUAGCUGGUCUGAGAGGACGACCAGCCACACGGGGACUGAGAACCGGCCCAGACUCCUCCGGGAGGCAGCAGUGGGGAAUUUUGGACAAUGGGCGCAAGCCUGAUCCAGCCAUUCCGCGUGCAGGAUGAAGGCCCUCGGGUUGUAAACUGCUUUUGUACGGAACGAAACGGUGCCAGCUAAUACCUGGCGCUAAUGACGGUACCGUAAGAAUAAGCACCGGCUAACUACGUGCCAGCCGCCGCUGUAACAC
rnacentral:rRNA from 1 species